GAAAGAGAGACAGAGACAGACAGACAGAGGGAAGCAAAGCUCACCAUUAGAGGCACACAAGCUCAACUGAUGUGGGAACUGAACUCAGAAAUCGUGAGAUCAUGACCUCAGCUGAAGUCAGAUGCGUAACGACUGAGCGACCCAGGUGCCCAAGCAUAUUUUCUUGUGCUUAUUGGCUGUCUGUGGAGGUGUCCCAA